GACGAACGCUGGCGGCGUGCUUAACACAUGCAAGUCGAACGAUGAACCCGGAGCUUGCUCUGGGGGAUUAGUGGCGAACGGGUGAGUAACACGUGAGUAACCUGCCCUGGACUCCGGGAUAAGCAUUGGAUACGACGUCUAAUACCGGAUAGGACCUCGGAUCGCCUGAACUGGGGUGGAAAGUUUUUUCGGUCUGGGAUGGACUCGCGGCCUAUCAGCUCGUUGGUGAGGUAACGGCUCACCAAGGCGUCGACGGGUAGCCGGCCUGAGAGGGUGACCGGCCACCCUGGGACUGAGACACGGCCCAGACUCCUACGGGAGGCAGCAGUGGGGAAUAUUGCUCAAUGGGCGAAAGCCUGAUGCAGCAACGCCGCGUGCGGGAUGACGGCCUUCGGGUUGUAAACCGCUUUUAGUAGGGAAGAAGGGCUUCGGCUUGACGGUACCUGCAGAAAAAGGACCGGCUAACUACGUGCCAGCCGCCGCCGUAA
rnacentral:rRNA from 1 species